rnacentral:rRNA from 1 species
AUUGAACGCUGGCGGCAGGCCUAACACAUGCAAGUCGAGCGGAUGAAGGGAGCUUGCUCCUGGAUUCAGCGGCGGACGGGUGAGUAAUGCCUAGGAAUCUGCCUGGUAGUGGGGGAUAACGUCCGGAAACGGGCGCUAAUACCGCAUACGACCUGAGGGAGAAAGUGGGGGAUCUUCGGACCUCACGCUAUCAGAUGAGCCUAGGUCGGAUUAGCUAGUUGGUGGGGUAAAGGCCUACCAAGGCGACGAUCCGCAACUGGUCUGAGAGGAUGAUCAGUCACACUGGAACUGAGACACGGUCCAGACGCCUACGGGAGGCAGCAGUGGGGAAUAUUGGACAAUGGGCGAAAGCCUGAUCCAGCCAUGCCGCGUGUGUGAAGAAGGUCUUCGGAUUGUAAAGCACUUUAAGUUGGGAGGAAGGGCAGUAAGUUAAUACCUUGCUGUUUUGACGUUACCAACAGAAUAAGCACCGGCUAACUUCGUG